UACGUAGGGUGCGAGCGUUGUCCGGAAUUAUUGGGCGUAAAGAGCUUGUAGGCGGUUUGUCGCGUCUGCCGUGAAAGCCCAGGGCUUAACCCUGGGUCUGCGGUGGGUACGGGCAGACUAGAGUGUGGUAGGGGAGACUGGAAUUCCUGGUGUAGCGGUGAAAUGCGCAGAUAUCUGGAGGAACACCGGUGGCGAAGGCGGCAUCCUGGACCGAUAUUGACGCUGAUGCGCGAAAGCCAGGGGAGCAAACGGG
rnacentral:rRNA from 1 species